UACAGAGGUCCCAAGCGUUGUUCGGAUUCCCUGGGCGUAAAGGGUGCGUAGGUUGUGAGGUAAGUCGGAUGUGAAAGCUCGGAGCUCAACUCCGAAAUGGCAUUGGAAACUACCUUGCUCGAGGGUUGGAGGGGGGACUGGAAUACUUGGUGUAGCAGUGAAAUGCGUAGAUAUCAAGUGGAACACCAGUGGCGAAGGCGAGUCCCUGGACAACUCCUGACACUGAGGCACGAAAGCUAGGGGAGCAAACAGG
rnacentral:rRNA from 1 species